GACGCGUGUCGGUCCCGGAGCUGCGACCUCACGCGUUUCCUCACUGGACCAACAUCUCCGCGUCCGGGCGCCUCCGCAGUACCGAUGUGUUGUCCCCGUGUAUUGGUGCGUGCAUACGACACGGUGACGUGCCUUGCAACACGGCACGGAGGAGCCCUCCGCUCUGCGCAAGCUUUGCCGUCCGCGCGAGCGAGAUUCCUGUUGACUUCAGUUCAACUGGACCGGCGUGAAGUUCCCAUCCGUGUUGUGUUGUGCAUUGUCUGACAGCGCGCUCCGAGACGACCUGUCUUUGGUCUCUCUUGGACCUGUCCUGGACCUCUCCUGGAUGCAAACGCCUCUUCCUCAGCAGCAGGUUUUAUGGUGCAAAAACGGCAUCAUUCAAACAGGAAAGGGUUGCUGAUUUUAUGGAGUGGAGGAUUAACUGACUAUUAUCCAGUCUGUUAAUACAUUAUAGCCACAAAUUCUCAGAGGAGGCCGUGCAGAGGAAUGUGCAGGAGGAGAAGUUUUGAAGGAUUUAUCAUGCUGAGAGCUUCUUCUCUCCACGGGGCAAUCUGAAGAUCUACAUCCCCCCUGCACUUCUGCAGCAUCUGAUCGUAAAUGGAUCAGUCCCCACAGAGCCCUCAACCACAUCUCCUUUACAAAUCUAUCUGCACAAGGACAACUUUAACCAGGACAUAAUGAGUCUUGGAAAUGGGCCAGCACAUAGCAGUGAGCUGCACAUCCAUGUGGUCGGGGCAAUUCCGACUAAUCCCAAAGUGGACUUGUGUUUAUUUUCCCGGCUGGGCGUCCGUGCUGAACAGACGUCCAGGGUUCCGGGAGGAACAGCGCCUCGGCCCAGCUGAAGCGUGACACGGUGGGGAAGGAGGGCACCACGCCACUGUUCAAUCCCAUGAGCCCCCCACGUCAGCCUCUGAAGUGCCGCCAUACCCCCACCCACAGCCCAGGCAGCGGGCACACCAGGCCGACUCCACCCGGGCCGUUGCAUGGAGACAGACGUACACAGCAUAAAUAUCCACUCUACUGAGGUUAAGUCCAGUGUGCUGGAACAGAGAGUCCAAACCCGAGUCUCCCUGUCUAAGUCCCCCUACAAGACUGCACUAUAUUUCCCCUCGACCGUAUUACAAUGACACUUAAACCUUUACGGAGCUCCUCCAGCGCUGGCUGCCUCACUAUAAAAAGCGGCUUGAAAAUAGCACGAGUAAACCGCUAAGUGUUUUACUGCUAUAGGAGCAUCUUCAUGGGCUGGUUGUGGAAUUUUAAUCAGAGCCUGUGAAUGUUGUUCCUCUCAUGGAGUGGCAGCGGAGCGGUUGGGCGGGGGGUGUGGAGUGAAUGAGAGGCUCACAUCCCUGGGGAAAGAGAUCAUAUCCAACGGCAUGGCAGUCAAUGCGCAAAGGAACGCUGUUGCUCCACACAGGAAAAUGCAGUUGGAUUAAAAUGAGAUUACCAAGAUUACCCUCACGUCAAGAAAGGGAGAGUGAGAGGUAAAAACAGAGGAUUAGUGAAGCAUGCAGUAUCCAGGGUUGAUGGCGUUAUUCGCUAAACUCAAUCACCCGGUAAAUAAAAGUGCUGUUUGCCUGUGGUGUGAGUUCUUGGGUCAAUGGAGCCCAAGCAGAGACACCCACGACAGUGUCCACCUGGCCCUGGAAUUAACCUCUGUCCACUGUGAUUUAUUCGCGGGGAGGAUUAGGGAGAUGUCACACGGAUCGUCGGGUUCCACUGCAGCUCGUAAAGACGAAGUCGAGGUUCAUGACGACAGUUCUAGCACAGGCUGCGCAAUUAGUUUGUUUCUGGAGUCUAACGUUAGACUGAGCCACCACGGGGGCUGCAUGUGGAAGCCACCAAAACUGGUUCAUGGUGCCACUUUAAAACUAACUGCAGGUCAUCACAUCAGAAGUGCCAGGUCUUUAACUUUGCUAUCUCGGGGACUAGAGGUAAAAGGCUUCUGUGAGUCAUAAAAGAUCUUAAAAGAAGAGCACUGAUCCUGGAUCAGUUUCCCCACUUGUUUUACAGCCUUUUGAUGUCUCUGCUUCUGCAGGAGCUGCAAUGUUUACAUUUGAAAGAAGAAACUAGGUCUUCUGCAACAAAAGGCUCUGAUGCUCCACUUUUCACAGCUCACCAUUGGGACUGUACUAUCUACUUUUAGCCCAAAUUCAUCACAGUUUGCCAAGAAAUGGACUUUGUGUGUAUAUAACUUUGCCUAUAUUCAAAUUAAAAUAACUUGCUGGUUGUAUAUAAUAAAACACACUGAUUAGAAUGCUGACCAGUGUCAACUGGAUAUUCUGUAGCAGAUGCCAGAGACUUUUUAUGGCCACAGCCGGAGGUUGCUCUUUAAAUCUAUUAAUAAAGAAGAAAUCUCUCUUCUA